rnacentral:rRNA from 1 species
ACGCUCGACACCUACAGGAGGCAGCAGUGGGGAAUAUUGCACAAUGGGGGAAACCCUGAUGCAGCGAUGCCGCGUGAAGGAAGAAGUAUCUCGGUAUGUAAACUUCUAUCAGCAGGGAAGAAAAUGACGGUACCUGACUAAGAAGCCCCGGCUAACUACGUGCCAGCAGCCGCGGUAAUCUGAGCGGGCUGGCAAGGC